rfam:Trichosporon oleaginosus strain IBC0246 unplaced genomic scaffold CC85scaffold_3, whole genome shotgun sequence.
GCCCGUAUAGCUCAGAGGUUUUAGAGCGUCUGGCUUCGAUGGCUGCUAUUAAGCACCCAAGUUACCAGACGGUCGCAGGUUCGAUCCCUGUUGCGGGCU